rnacentral:rRNA from 1 species
GCGGCAGGCUUAACACAUGCAAGUCGAACGCUCGUAGCAAUACGGGAGUGGCAGACGGGUGAGUAACGCGUGGGAACAUACCCUCCGGUUCGGAAUAGCUCAGGGAAACUUGGAUUAAUACCGGAUACGGCUGAGAGGCGAAAGAUUUAUCGCCGGAGGAUUGGCCCGCGUUCGAUUAGCUUGUUGGUGAGGUAACGGCUCACCAAGGCGAUGAUCGAUAGCUGGUCUGAGAGGAUGAUCAGCCACAUUGGGACUGAGACACGGCCCAGACUCC